UGGGGAAUAUUGGACAAUGGGCGAAAGCCUGAUCCAGCCAUGCCGCGUGUGUGAAGAAGGUCUUCGGAUUGUAAAGCACUUUAAGUUGGGAGGAAGGGCAUUAACCUAAUACGUUAGUGUUUUGACGUUACCGACAGAAUAAGCACCGGCUAACUCCGUGCCAGCAGCCGCGGUAAUACAGAGGGUGCAAGCGUUAAUCGGAAUUACUGGGCGUAAAGCGCGCGUAGGUGGUUUGUUAAGUUGGAUGUGAAAUCCCCGGGCUCAACCUGGGAACUGCAUUCAAAACUGACUGACUAGAGUAUGGUAGAGGGUGGUGGAAUUUCCUGUGUAGCGGUGAAAUGCGUAGAUAUAGGAAGGAACACCAGUGGCGAAGGCGACCACCUGGACUAAUACUGACACUGAGGUGCGAAAGCGUGGGGAGCAAACA
rnacentral:rRNA from 1 species